UGGGGAAUUUUGGACAAUGGGCGAAAGCCUGAUCCAGCCAUUCCGCGUGAGUGAAGAAGGCCUUCGGGUUGUAAAGCUCUUUCGCAAGGGAAGAAAACUUAGGCGCUAAUAUCGCUUGAGGUUGACGGUACCUUGAUAAGAAGCACCGGCUAACUAC
rnacentral:rRNA from 1 species